AGACAGCAGUAGCCGCGGUAAUACAGAGGGUGCGAGCGUUAAUCGGAUUUACUGGGCGUAAAGCGUGCGUAGGCGGCUUUUUAAGUCGGAUGUGAAAUCCCUGAGCUUAACUUAGGAAUUGCAUUCGAUACUGGGAAGCUAGAGUAUGGGAGAGGAUGGUAGAAUUCCAGGUGUAGCGGUGAAAUGCGUAGAGAUCUGGAGGAAUACCGAUGGCGAAGGCAGCCAUCUGGCCUAAUACUGACGCUGAGGUACGAAAGCAUGGGGAGCAAACAGGAUUAGAUACCCCCGUAGUCCCUGUCUCUUAUAA
rnacentral:rRNA from 1 species